rnacentral:rRNA from 1 species
AUUGAACGCUAGCGGGAUGCUUUACACAUGCAAGUCGAACGGCAGCGCGAGAGAGCUUGCUCUCUUGGCGGCGAGUGGCGGACGGGUGAGUAAUGUCUGGGAAACUGCCUGAUGGAGGGGGAUAACUACUGGAAACGGUAGCUAAUACCGCAUAAUGUCGCAAGACCAAAGAGGGGGACCUUCGGGCCUCUUGCCAUCAGAUGUGCCCAGAUGGGAUUAGCUAGUAGGUGGGGUAACGGCUCACCUAGGCGACGAUCCCUA